UCUAUAAAAAAUGUUGAUUUCUAUUGCUUCCAUUUUUGUCUUUGUAAUUUCUGUGUAAAGAUUGCUUACUUGACUGACCUUUAUCUCCCCUGUCACUUUUCCCUUCUCUCUACUUUUUCUGUGUCUCUCCUCUCUGCCAGGUGGCUCCAGAGGAGUUGACAUUGGUUCAUAACUUGAGGAAGAUGAUCAACAAUGACUGGUGUGGAGGGGCGGUCAUUGCCACUCUGUCUCAGACAGGAUGUCUCUACGCUCCAAGCUCUGCCUACCUGCCCCAGGAGCUGCUGGGAGAGAUCAGGAGUCAUGAUUACAUCCUGGUUAAUGUUAUAUGUCCAGUCCAAAAACUACCUCUAACCCUUGGUGUCUAUUGAUCUGGGCUAACAAGGGAAUGAUCUAGAUGUUUUUGGACAAGACCCUUCUGAUGUGUUUAUAUGCAUCAGUCAAAUAGAAACAGAAGUUCACCUAUUAAAAACAUCUAUCCUCAUCCUCUGUGUUGUUCCUACAGGAGGGCUUUGACAGCAUGGACCCGUUUAUCCCAGUACCAGUCUCCCUCUACAGUGAGAAGGAGUUUGAGAGCUGUUACCUCUACUACCUGGACCGCCACUGGCUACAACAUCCACACAGUCAGACAGAGGAAGGGAAGAAAGAACUGAUCUUCCUCAGCAACAGAAACCCUUCUGUACUGGAGAGACUGUGUGCCUUCCUGUAACAUCACACAUGGGCCCACACACCCAUAGAGAUAGGACUCAUAUCUGUGACAGCAUGGGCAGCGCCAUUGAGGCUACAACCCAUAGGAAUCCCCACUCAGUUGACUACUUUGACCACUUUAAAAUGGCGGAAGCCCUCGAUGGUGCUGCCCAUGUGACAUCAAGGCCACUAGCAUUCUCUAUGGGACAAACGCCAAUACAGACUCAUACAUGGAUUAUAACAUUGCAGUUGUGUACGUGUCCCUCCAUAAAUUAUUCUGUUGUGA